GCUCACUCUCUCUUUUGAAGGCGAGGUUUAUGUGUUUUUUGCUGUUAUGCCCCAGAAGGAACUAUAUGGUGGAAUGUUGCAUAAAGAGUCUUUGGGAGAUCGAGCGUGGAGUACCAAGCAUUAAUGCAACAAGCUAUAUUUUGUUUCAUCAUGUAAAACUUAACCAGGAAACUUAAAUGCUUUUUAGUCUAUCCAAUGUAUGAAUGCUUUAGCAAUGUUCCUUAAAUUCAAUAUUUGAUGAAUUGAUGUAUCCCAAUGACUUUGGUACAAAUGUUGAUCAUUUGAUGGUUUGCAUUCAA